rnacentral:rRNA from 1 species
UUAUUGGAGAGUUUGAUCCUGGCUCAGGACGAACGCUGGCGGCGUGCCUAAUACAUGCAAGUCGAGCGGAGUCGAUAGGAAGCUUGCUUCUUUGAGACUUAGCGGCGGACGGGUGAGUAACACGUAGGCAACCUGCCCUUUAGCCUGGGAUAACUACCGGAAACGGUAGCUAA